GCCUGAGUGGCUCAGUCAGUUAAGCAUCUGACUUUGACUCAGGUCAUGAUCUCACGAGUCAUGGGUUCGAGCCCCACAUCAGGCC
rnacentral:tRNA from 1 species